rnacentral:rRNA from 1 species
UACAGAGGUCUCAAGCGUUGUUCGGAUUCAUUGGGCGUAAAGGGUGCAUAGGCGGCGCGGUAAGUCGGGUGUGAAAUCUCGGGAGCUUAACUCCGAAACUGCAUUCGAUACUGCCGUGCUUGAGGACUGGAGAGGAGACUGGAAUUCCUGGUGUAGCGGUGAAAUGCGCAGAUAUCAGGAGGAACACCGGUGGCGAAGGCGGCAUCCUGGACCAAUAUUGACGCUGAGGAGCGAAAGCCAGGGGAGCAAACGGG